AGAGUUUGAUCCUGGCUCAGAUUGAACGCUGGCGGCAUGCUUUACACAUGCAAGUCGAACGGGGGUGGGGCAACCCACCUUAGUGGCGAACGGGUGAGUAAUGUAUCGGAACGUAUCCUUAAGUGGGGGAUAACUCCGAGAAAUCGGAGCUAAUACCGCAUGAGAUCUGAGGAUGAAAGCGGGGGACCGAAAGGCCUCGCGCUUGAGGAGCGGCCGAUAUCUGAUUAGCUAGUUGGUGGGGUAACGGCCUACCAAGGCUGCGAUCAGUAGCUGGUCUGAGAGGAUGAUCAGCCACACUGGGACUGAGACACGGCCCAGACUCCUACGGGAGGCAGCAGUGGGGAAUUUUGGACAAUGGGCGCAAGCCUGAUCCAGCCAUGCCGCGUGAGUGAAGAAGGCCUUCGGGUUGUAAAGCUCUUUCGGACGGAAAGAAAUCGCCUGGGCGAAUACCCCAGGUGGAUGACGGUACCGUAAGAAGAAGCACCGGCUAACUACGUGCCAGCAGCCGCGGUAAUACGUAGGGUGCGAGCGUUAAUCGGAAUUACUGGGCGUAAAGCGUGCGCAGGCGGUGAUUUAAGUCAGAUGUGAAAGCCCCGGGCUUAACCUGGGAACUGCGUUUGAAACUGGAUCGCUAGAGUUUAGCAGAGGGGGGUAGAAUUCCACGUGUAGCGUGAAAUGCGUAGAUAUGUGGAGGAACACCGAUGGCGAAGGCAGCCCCCUGGGCUAGAACUGACGCUCAUGCACGAAAGCGUGGGGAGCAAACAGGAUUAGAUACCCUAGUAGUCC
rnacentral:rRNA from 1 species